rnacentral:rRNA from 1 species
GGUUAAGCGACUAAGCGUACACGGUGGAUGCCCUGGCAGUCAGAGGCGAUGAAGGACGUGCUAAUCUGCGAAAAGCGUCGGUAAGGUGAUAUGAACCGUUAUAACCGGCGAUGUCCGAAUGGGGAAACCCAGUGCAAUUCGUUGCACUAUCGUUAACUGAAUACAUAGGUUAACGAGGCGAACCGGGGGAACUGAAACAUCUAAGUACCCCGAGGAAAAGAAAUCAACCGAGAUUCCCCCAGUAGCGGCGAGCGAACGGGGAGCAGCCCAGAGUCUGAAUCAGCUUGUGUGUUAGUGGAACGGUCUGGAAAGUCCGACGGUACAGGGUGAUAGUCCCGUACACCAAAAUGCACAGGCUGUGAACUCGAAGAGUAGGGCGGGACACGUGGUAUCCUGUCUGAAUAUGGGGGGACCAUCCUCCAAGGCUAAAUACUCCUGACUGACCGAUAGUG